GCGAACGGGUGAGUAUAUAUCGGAACGUGCCCAGUAGUGGCGGGAUAGCCCGGCGAAAGCCGGAUUAAUACCGCAUACGACCUAUGGGUGAAAGCGGGGGAUCGCAAGACCUCGCGCUAUUGGAGCGGCCGAUGUCCGAUUAGCUAGUUGGUGGGGUAAUGGCCUACCAAGGCGACGACUCGGUAGCUGGUCUGAGAGGAUGAUCAGCCACACUGGGAGCUGAGACACGGCCCAGACUCCUACGGGAGGCAGCA
rnacentral:rRNA from 1 species